UAAUACGAAGGUGGCAAGCGUUACUCGGAAUUACUAGGCGUAAAGGGCAGGUAGGCGGUUUGAUGAGUCUGUUGUGAAAGCUCCCGGCUUAACUGGGAGAGGUCAACAGAUACUGUCGAACUUGAGUAUGGGAGAGGGUACUGGAAUUCCUGGUGUAGCGGUGAAAUGCGCAGAGAUCAGGAGGAACACCGAUGGCGAAAGCAGGUACCUGGACCAUUACUGACGCUCAGCUGCGAAAGCUAGGGGAGCAAACAGGAUUAGAUACCCUGGUAGUCCUAGCCGUAAACGAUGCACAUUAGGCGUGAGGGGUAUCGACCCCCUUCGUGCCGACGCAAACGCAUUAAAUGUGCCGCCUGGGGAGUACGGCCGCAAGGUUG
rnacentral:rRNA from 1 species